GAUGAACGCUGGCGGCGCGCCUAACACAUGCAAGUCGAACGAGCGAGAGAGCUUGCUUUCUCAAGCGAGUGGCGAACGGGUGAGUAACGCGUGAGGAACCUGCCUCAAAGAGGGGGACAACAGUUGGAAACGACUGCUAAUACCGCAUAAUGCAACGGAAUCGCAUGACUCUGUUGCCAAAGAUUUAUCGCUCUGAGAUGGCCUCGCGUCUGAUUAGCUAGUUGGCGGGGUAACGGCCCACCAAGGCGACGAUCAGUAGCCGGACUGAGAGGUUGACCGGCCACAUUGGGACUGAGAUACGGCCCAG
rnacentral:rRNA from 1 species